UAGGCUGGAAUGUAGUGGUGCUAUCUUGGCUCACUGCAGCCUCGACUUCCUGGGCUCAAGUGAUCCUCCCACCUCAGCCGCCCAAGUAGCUGGGACUCCAGGCAUGUGACACCACAUUCGGCUAAUUUUUGUUGUGUUUUUAGUAGAGAUGGGGUUUCACCAUGUUGCCCAGGCUGGACUCAAACUCCUGAGCUCAAGUAUUCUGCCUGGCUCAGCCUGCCAAAGUGCUAGGAUUACAGGCAUGAGCCACUGGGCCUGGCCUUAGACUCUACUUCUUGAUAGGAUAGGGUCAGGUCACUGCUAUGCUUUAAAUAUGAUCCCCAGAAAGCAUAUGUAGGCUGCCUGGGUGAUGGGUAUACUAGAAGCCCAAACUUUACCAUUAUGCAGUAUAUCCAUGUAAAAAAGGUACACAUAUACCCCUUGAAUCUGAAAUUUAAAAAUAAAAUAAGUAUGUAUUAGAAAAUUUAUCCCAAAUGCAGUAGUGUUGGGAGGUGGGGCCUAAUGAGAGGUGUUUAGGUCAUGAAGCCACCUCUAAUGAAUGCAUUAAUGUUGAUUAUAAAAGGCCUUAAGGCUGCAAGUUCUAUCUCUUGCUCUCUCUUAUCCCUCUUUGCCCUUCCACUAUGGGAUGAUGCAGCAAGAAGACCCAUGCCAGAUGCCUGGCCCCUCAAUCUUGAACUUCUUAGCCUCCAGAACUAUGAAUGAGUAAAUUUCUAUUCAUUAUAAAUUAUCCAGUCUAUAAUAUUUUGUCAUAGCAACACAAAACAGACCAAGACAGUGAGAUUACAGAAGAGUAUGUAGAGUGAGAAAUAUUAUUGUAGCCAUUUUUUUAAAAUUUUUGCUUUUUUAAAAAAAUUAUUCUUUAAGUUCUAGGGUACAUGUGCUCAACAUGCAGGUUUGCUACAUAGGUAUACAUGUGCCAUGUUGGUUUGCUGCACCCACCAACUCAUCAUUUACAUUAGGUAUUUCUCCUAAUGCUCUCCCUCCCCCAGCCCCCCAUCCUCCGACCAGCCGCAGUGUGUGAUGUUCCCCACCCUGUGUCCAUGUGAUCUCAUUGUUCAAUUCCCACCUAAGAGUGAGAACAUGUGGUGUUUGGUUUUCUGUCCUUGUGAUAGUUUGCUGAGAAUGAUGGUUUCCAGCUUCAUCCAUGUCCCUGCAAAGGACAUGAACUCAUCCUUUUUAUGGCUGCAUAGUAUUCCAUGGUGUAUAUGUGCCACGUUUUCUUUAUCCAGUCUAUCAUUGAUGGACAUUUGGGUUGGUUCCAAGUCUUUGCUAUUGUGAACAGUGCUGCAAUAAACAUACGUGCACAUGUGUCUUUAUAGUAGAAUGAUUUAUAAUCCUUUGAGUAUAUGCCUAGUAAUGGGAUUGCUGGGUCAAAUGGUAUUUCUAGUUCUAGAUCCUUGAGGAAUCACCACAGUGUCUUCCACAAUGGUUGAACUGAUUUACACACCCACCAACGGUGUAUUUCUCCACAUCCUCUCCAGCAUCUGUUGUUUCCUGACUUUUUAAUGAUCACCAUUCUAACUGGUGUGAGAUGGUAUCUUAUUGUGGUUUUGAUUUGCAUUUCUCUGAUGACCAGUGAUGAUGAGCAUUUUUGCAUAUGUCUGUUGGCUGCAUAAAUGUCUUCUUUUGAGAAGUGUCUGUUCAUAUCCUUUGCCCACUUUUUGAUGGGGUUGUUUUUUUCUUGUAAAUUUGUUUAAGUUCUUUGUAGAUUCUGGAUAUUAGCCCUUUGUCAGAUGGGUAGAUUGCAAAAAUUUUCUCUGUUUUUGCUUUUUGAGAUGGAGUUUCACUCUGUUGUCCAGGCUGACAACUGUAGCUGACUGCAGCCUCAACCUGUUGGGUUCCAGAGAUCCUUCUGUGUCAGCCUCCUGAGUAGCUGGGAGUACAGGCAGAUGCCACCACACCUGGCUAAUUAAAAAAAAAAAUUUGUAGAGAUGGGGGUCUCACCAUGCUGCCCAGGCUGGUUUCGAACUCUUGGCUUCAAGCAGUCUCCCCAACUUGGAUUCCCAAAGUGCUGGGAUUACAGGACUGUCCCCUUUCCUCCAACCCAACGGCUUACUUUCAAGGAAGUAUUUGAGAAUGGGAAACCUAAAGUUGAUGUUUUAAAAAACCAUUUGGUAAAGGAAGGACGACUGGAAGAGGAAGUAGCCUUAAAGAUAAUCAAUGAUGGGGCUGCCAUCCUGAGGCAAGAGAAGACUAUGAUAGAAGUAGAUGCUCCAAUCACAGUAUGUGGUGAUAUUCAUGGACAAUUCUUUGACCUAAUGAAGUUAUUUGAAGUUGGAGGAUCACCUAGUAACACACGCUACCUCUUUCUGGGUGACUAUGUGGACAGAGGCUAUUUCAGUAUAGAGUGUGUGCUGUAUUUAUGGAGUUUAAAGAUUAAUCAUCCCAAAACAUUGUUUCUGCUUCGGGGAAAUCAUGAAUGCAGGCAUCUUACAGACUAUUUCACCUUCAAACAGGAAUGUCGAAUCAAAUAUUCGGAACAGGUGUAUGAUGCCUGUAUGGAGACAUUUGACUGUCUUCCUCUUGCUGCCCUCUUAAACCAGCAGUUUCUCUGUGUACAUGGAGGAAUGUCACCUGAAAUUACUUCUUUAGAUGACAUUAGGAAAUUAGACAGGUUUACGGAACCUCCCGCCUUUGGACCUGUGUGUGACCUGCUUUGGUCUGAUCCCUCAGAGGAUUAUGGCAAUGAGAAGACCUUGGAGCACUAUACCCACAACACUGUCCGAGGGUGCUCUUAUUUCUACAGUUACCCUGCAGUUUGUGAAUUUUUGCAGAACAAUAAUUUACUAUCAAUUAUCAGAGCCCAUGAAGCCCAAGAUGCUGGGUAUCGAAUGUACAGGAAGAGCCAAGCAACAGGCUUUCCAUCACUUAUUACAAUUUUCUCUGCCCCCAAUUACCUAGAUGUCUAUAACAAUAAAGCUGCUGUGUUGAAAUAUGAAAACAAUGUCAUGAAUAUCAGGCAGUUUAACUGUUCUCCACACCCCUACUGGCUUCCAAACUUUAUGGAUGUUUUCACAUGGUCUUUGCCUUUUGUUGGGGAAAAAGUCACAGAGAUGCUGGUAAAUGUGCUCAACAUAUGCUCUGAUGACGAACUGAUUUCUGAUGAUGAAGCAGAAGGAAGCACUACAGUUCGUAAGGAGAUCAUCAGGAAUAAGAUCAGAGCCAUUGGGAAGAUGGCACGGGUCUUUUCAAUUCUUCGGCAAGAAAGUGAGAGUGUGCUGACUCUCAAGGGCCUGACUCCCACAGGCACACUCCCUCUGGGCGUCCUCUCAGGAGGCAAGCAGACUAUCGAGACAGCCACAGUAGAAGCGGUAGAGGCCCGGGAAGGUAUGGCCAUAUUACUCUGAUAGAUGUGAUCCAUGUGUCUGUGUACUGGUUUUUCGAAGCUUUAUCAACAUUUCAAAUAUUUUAUUAUUGCAUCACCAGAACUAUAACAGUGAGAAAAGGUAUAGUUGUUUCUAGGCAUGUUAACGAAGCAGGUGUUUCCUUUGUGUCCUAUCUUUGCAUUAAUUUUAAAUAACCUUCACCACAGCUACAGUUUUUUUUCUGGGCUCUAUCAGCUUUAAUGCAACGGCAGAAGCUUAAGCAACUGGUCAUGAGAGGUCAAGUGGUUUACUUCUGUAUCCCUUCCAUGUACAAGAGACAUCCAUUUGAUUCUAAAGAGAGCCAAAUAGGUCAGCCUCUUCAGCGAUUCUAAAAGAUUUCAAGAGCAGAGGCAGAAGUAGACUGGAAUUUAGUUCAAUUCAUUUCUGAGGUUGCCCUAAGUAAGCCAUCAGAGGGUUCUCGCUUCAGCACAAGAUCCGGAGUUUUGAAGAAGCACGAGGUCUGGACCGAAUUAAUGAGCGAAUGCCACCCCGAAAGGAUAGCAUACACGCUGAUGGGCCAAUGAAAUCUGUAACCUCAGCACACUCACAUGCCGCGCACAGGAGCGACCAAGGGAAGAAAGCCCAGUCAUGACUUAAGAGUCCUGCCGUGGCUCAGGUGGAUCUAAAACUCAAGAACAAAUUUUAUUUAUUUAUUAUUGGAAAAUGAAAAGCAACUCAAACAACUUCAACCUGGAGGUGCAUUUAUAAUUCAGUCUGCAUUUAUUCUGUAAAAAGGUGACUGUUUUAUAAAUUCUUUUAAUUUAUGUUCAAUAUAUAUAAAAAGUGCAUCUGUUUUAUUUUUCCCUUUUUUCUCCAUAAUUUUAAGAAAUGAAUCUGAUUGUUGUCAACACAUUUGUGAAGUCUUGUGCUAUAAAGGGGAACUUCCCCUAAUAAAAGGGCCUUGGAAACCUCAAACCUGGGUUUCUGACUUGAA